UACGUAGGUCGCAAGCGUUGUCCGGAUUUACUGGGCGUAAAGAGCGCGCAGGCGGCUGGCCAAGUCCGAUGUGAAAUCUCCCGGCUUAACCGGGAAACUGCAUCGGAAACUGGUCGGCUCGAGGUGGGCAGAGGGCAGUGGAAUUCCGGGUGUAGUGGUGGAAUGCGUAGAGAUCCGGAGGAACACCAGAGGCGAAGGCGGCCUGCUGGGCUGCACCUGACGCUGAGCCGCGAAAGCCAGGGGAGCGAACGGG
rnacentral:rRNA from 1 species